GUGUGUAUGUGUGCGUGCAAUAGUUCUGAAUUUGACAUUGGAAUUGAGCAGCAGCGUGUGUGUAGGGCUUCUAUUAUAUUAUAUUAUGUUCUUCGUCGUUUUUCCGUUUGUUUUUCUUUUGGCACAUUGUAGGCGGGACCCAAGCCAACUUUCGAUUGUUCGACUCUGCUGCACGGAGGACUUCACGUCGAGGAAAACGGACGAUGUUUUUUCCUCUUUUUUUUUUCUUACCAUCCCUAACAACCAUUCCCCCCUUCCCGAUAAUUGUAUCGUAUUAAUAUCGCGUCGUGUGCGCUGCUUAUUGUAUACAAUAUAAUAUUAUUAUUAUAUGGUCC